GAGUUUGAUCAUGGCUCAGGACAAACGCUGGCGGCGUGUAUUAGGCAUGCAAGUCGCACGGACCUUCGGGUCAGUGGCGGACGGGUGAGUAACACGUGGGUAACCUGCCUUGGAGUGGGGAAUAACUCUCCGAAAGGAGAGCUAAUACCGCAUACCACUCCCGGUGAGAAUCCGGGUAGUAAAAGCAGUAAUGCGCUCUAAGAGGGGCCCGCGGCCGAUUAGCUUGUUGGUGGGGUAAUGGCCUACCAAGGCGACGAUCGGUAGCUGGUCUGAGAGGAUGGUCAGCCACACGGGGACUGAGAUACGGCCCCGACUCCUACGGGAGGCAGCAGCUAAGAAUCUUGCGCAAUGGGCGAAAGCCUGACGCAGCAACGCCGCGUGGAGGACGAAGGCCUUCGGUUGUAAACUCCUUUUGCGAGGGAAGAAGUUCUGACGGUACCUCGCGAAUAAGCCACGGCUAACUACGUGCCAGCCGCCGCAGUAAC
rnacentral:rRNA from 1 species